UCCGGUAUAGCUCAGUUGGUUAGAGCAGCGGACUGUUAAUCCGCGUGUCCGAGGUUCGAGUCCUCGUACCGGAGCAA
rnacentral:tRNA from 1 species